GCGGGCGAAAAGGCGCAAUCCUCGGUCCCGUUUAGCCGUAGUUAGGGUUGCGAGACUGGAGAACCCGCUACGGCAGCGAAUUACCAUCUCCCAAGCGGGAAUGCCUAAUAGCAGGAGGAGCGGUCAGGCUUUGUUGACUACAACUCCCAGCAUGCUCCGCGUGGGGCGGGGCCUCCGCCGGAGCUGGUCCCCUGUGGUGCUGCGCGGUGCUUGCUGGGAGUUGUAGUACCGGCUGUGAGCGGGCGGGAAGGAGAAGGGUCGACUGAGGUGGGGCGCGCCAACACUCAUUUUGGUUCCCAGCGGGUGUCUCGUUUGCGCUAAAAAAGAAAAACAGCUUCUGGAGACUGACCCGAGGUUCACCUGAUUAGAAAUACAGAAGAUGUCUUGUGGAAAACAUGCGUGGAUCUGUCAGCGUGCUCCCUAAUUCUACCCAUCCCUCCGUCGGCAGAACUAAAUUCUAUGGCUCUCCAGUCCAAGCUCUCCUCCUUCCUGAAUUGUCUCCAGUAAUGCAAAAGCCGAAGAGGAAACACGCCUCCUUUAAGAAGCAGACGCGUAGUUGGGGAUCUGACGAGGCACACGUUAUCAAACUGGAAAUAAAAGUCAAAAUCUACAACGUUUGUUGCCGUAUCUGUUCUUCAGUUUUGACUGAUAGUGAUAAGCCCAAACCAAAACAGUGUCACGUUCACAUGUUGGCAACGAAUUCCAGCUGCAGCAUUUACGGUAGCCUGUAGUAAACUGAGUCGAAGGAGAAAAAUCCCAACAGCAAAGUUGCUGACCAAUCUUUAACGGAUUGCCAGGGUAAUAGGGGACAAGAACGUGAAAAAAAUGAAUGUGCCGUAAAUAAACCGUUACAGUGCUGCUCAAAUUCAAAUCCCUAGGAAGCACCACGAAACAAAGGACAAAUUGAUGCUGCUGCCAUGAAGGAGCAGCCCAGUGGGUCUAGAAAACAAAUGAGACAAAUGGAACCAUGGCCUAGGCGCGGGCACAAAGUCUACGUUCUCACAGCAGUCCAGCCAUCGGACCCCAGCUGGGAAUAGCUCUCCAGAACAGCCAACCUAGCAUUCGUACCAGACUGUGCCAAAGGAGAGCAAUGGAAGACCUCGGAGGAUGGGAGCUUGGAAUAAUUCGCCUAUUACUAUUUUAGAGCACAGCAUACCCUCAUUCAAUAGUGCACUAUUUAAGUGGUUUGUGCUUUGGUAUUAAUACCUUUCUAACAGUUCCAAGAACUUUACAAACAACACAGCUACUCAGGACAACCUUAUAACAGUUAACAAGUGUUACUUUUGUUGUUAAAUAUGGAAAUGAAAACACAGGCUUACAUCCAAGCAAGAGAGACAAAUGUGAAAUAGCUCCUUUGCAAGUAGGAUUCUGUUCUUGGAAUAAGUUCCACCAGUGAGUUACACUCCUGGGACAUUUAAAAGUGAGACGGAGGCCGGCUUUCUUCCCCUGUCUGUUUUCUGCCGAGGCAGCCUGGAAGCUUUCUGCAGCAGCGUUCCAGCACCCAGUCACUAACUUCCUGUAUCCAGAGGCGAGGGCUGCGGAGGAGGAGGCGUCAGGGAAGCCAGGAGCGGACCAAGAAGGAGGUCAGUGGUGUAGCAAUCUGCUCAGCGGUCCUGUAAGGUGAGGACGGGGAGCCAUCCACCCCACGGAGUAAAACGGGGACGCUGGGGCUACAACGGGAACGAAACACAGUCACUGCACACCGUGGGCUCUUUCUAAAACAUAUAGAUUGGUAGAGAGUGACAACCACCUGAAACAUGCAGGAGGUCGGGAAGCAUGAUAGGGAUGCAGUGCUCAUGGAAGUGUGGUAUGAUGCGGGUGCUUGUUGUAGCCUAUUUGUCAGACUUCCCUGAGAAAUAGAGAUUCCAAGAGCAGGCAGGUGGAAGCUUCACCAGAUAAAAUCAAGGCUGGAAGAAGAGUUAGAAAAAAACUUAGCCCGGGACUUUUUCUUUGUGUGACUAUGUAAAGCAGUUAAAACUAUAAGAGGAAUAAUCUUUGUUUAUGAAAAAUCAUUUGAAGAAUGUUUUCUCAAUUAAUCUGUUAUUCUGUAAAAGCAAUGUGUGAUUAUUGUAACAAGUGACACAACCCAAAGGCAUAUGAAUAAAAAGUUUCCUCCUAUACCUCCCAAUUUUCACUCCACUUGGAGUGACCAAUGCUAACUGCCUGGGUUGUGUACCACUCCUGAACUUUAUCCAUAGUUACGAAAACAUAGCUAUUUGGGUUUUGUGUUUCUUCAUAAGAAUUCUUGUAAAAUAUGUAAAACCAUAUGCAGUUGCUUUAUUCACCUGACAGUAUAUUAUGGAUAUCAGGUCAAUUGGCAAAGAUCUAACUCAGUUUUUUAAUAGCUGAAUCCAUAGAUUAGAUUACCCUACUAUGGUACCAUUUGUUCCCUUAUUGAUGAACGUGUAAAUGGAUCUAGACUUUUAUCACAACAAACAGCACUGCAAUAAACGUCCUUAUACACGCAUCCUUAUCAUAGGAUGCUUUUAUUUCUGCAGGGAGAUGCCCAGUGAUGGGACCACUAGAUCAAGGCUAUUUCCUAUUUCGAUAUAUAUUGCACACAUUUUAUCCAAAGGGUUGCAGCCGUUCCCACUUCCAUCGGGAACUUAUGAGAGUGUCCAUCUCCCGUAGCCUCACCAAGUGAGGCUCUUCACACCAGCAACUGCAGGAGGGGCGUGUAUAAGUAUCCUUGGAUUGUUUGGGUCAAUAGUUCUGGUCUCAAAAAUUGUACACUUUCCUAAAUCCAUCCUUGUUCAUUGAAUGUACCUUCUCCUCCUGCUUAUUCCAUUUUCUUUCUCUAGAUUACAAAGAUCAGAGCACCUGUAAAGCACCAGAUUCUUUGCAGUUAAUAAUGUGUUUUCUCCCACAAAUACAGUUAUUCCUAAAGGAAACCAACCAAGAAGAAAUCCAAGGAUGCCUAUGAGCAAUAAAUCCACAUCUGACCUUAUCUGACCCCUUCUAGUCUCUGAACCUAUCAAAACCUGGAGUAGACACUGGGUGGAGAGCACAGAUUUGCUCAUCAGCAGACUGGAAUCCAGGCUUCAUCACUUUUUGCCCUGUCAUGCAAUUAAACUCAUGACCUUAUCUAUAAAAUGGCAACAGUCCAACUGCUAUUUAAUAUUGCUCAUGAGUACAAAGUGUUCAGCAUGGUGCCUGGCAAAUAGUAAGCUUUUACUAAAUGAUUGUUGUAUGAUAGAUCCCACAAUUUGAUAUCCCCUUUGAAAUAUCAGCCAUACGUUUAUAUAAGUUGUUGGACAUUUAAAUCCACAACCAAAUGUUAUCUUCUUAAUGAGAUACUUCAUAAACAAAAGAGAGUUUUCUAGGGUUUUCUGAAAAUAAUGAGCCUUGGUUUCUUUGUAUUCAUUUAUUCCAACUGUUACUUGAUGUCUUGUUUGGGACAAAGUGCUCUAUCGCACAGGCUCGGGCAGACACAAAGGAAACCAAUACUUGAUUUCGGUACUGAAGAGGUUGAUGGUCUAAAUGGACUUAAGCAAGCAUCAUCCAAUGCGUGACGUGCGUUACGAGUAGGAGCUGAAAAUAAUGAACUCUGGGAGAGCUAGGAAGUGCUUCAAAUAUAUCUGACCACUUCAAGAUCAUGGCAUUUUUUUAUGGCCAGGUAAAUACACACACACACACACACACACACACACACACACACACACACACACUUACCUUUCUAAGAUUUUCUACUAGAACGUUUCAUUUAUUUUCCUAAAGCGUUUUUGUUUUUUCUUAAGAACAAAAAAGUUGGAAGCAUGGAUAAGCAAAAUAUGGUAUACACAUACAACAGAAUAUUACUCAGCUUUGAAAAGGAAAUUCUAACACAUGCUACAAUGCAAAUGAAU